AGAGCGAACGCUGGCGGCAGGCUUAACACAUGCAAGUCGAGCGGGCGUAGCAAUACGUCAGCGGCAGACGGGUGAGUAACGCGUGGGAACAUACCUUUUGGUUCGGAACAACCCAGGGAAACUUGGGCUAAUACCGGAUAAGCCCUUACGGGGAAAGAUUUAUCGCCAAAAGAUUGGCCCGCGUCUGAUUAGCUAGUUGGUGAGGUAACGGCUCACCAAGGCGACGAUCAGUAGCUGGUCUGAGAGGAUGAUCAGCCACAUUGGGACUGAGACACGGCCCAAACUCCUACGGGAGGCAGCAGUGGGGAAUAUUGGACAAUGGGCGCAAGCCUGAUCCAGCCAUGCCGCGUGAGUGAUGAAGGCCCUAGGGUUGUAAAGCUCUUUUGUGCGGGAAGAUAAUGACGGUACCGCAAGAAUAAGCCCCGGCUAACUACGCGCCAGCAGCCGC
rnacentral:rRNA from 1 species